AGUGACUGAAAGGGAAGUUCACUGGUGGCUUUAGUGAAGGAAAGAAAAACGACUUUUUAAGCUGAAUGUUUCGUGGCAAGUCGGGUCGGAUGGUUUAUUUAAAGAGAAAUAAUUCUGGGAUUUAUUUUCUGUCAGGACCUCAGGAGAGGAGGAAGAGCGGAGCGACUGUCCAGUUUGCAGGAGGAAGUCAUCUGGAAUGAAGGUGUCAGAGGAAUGACUCCGUAAGGACGGGGACACACUAUUGGGACCAUGGAGGUAGUGACGCUGACUGGGGUCCAUGCGGGUGUGGGGUUUUUCCUGCUCGUUGCUCUGUGCACUGCACUGAUGACCUGUGUGCUACGGCGGAAACGGAAGACGGAGGGAACGUACCGGCCGAGCGCAGAGGAGCUAAAACAAGCAGAGAGCCAGGGCUCGGAGAAACCAGGCCUCCCACUGCCUCUGCCCAAAGAGGAGCGACUGAUCUGAGAGCCUCCUUUAACCACAUGGUGUGACUGAACUCAAAGGUCAUUCAAAAUCCAACUUGUAUCUUUUGACCUGGUGUGGUGAUUUCACUUCUGAGGGUUUCAGCUGGCUGUCAUUCUAGAACCACAGUUCAUGAUCUAGAACUCCGAAAUAUUGUUAAGCACAUGAUGAUGAUUGUCUUUGUGUUCCUCUUUCUAUUGGCCAGACAGUGUCACGGCUGUUUAUGAAGGGGUGUGUGUGUAUCAUGGUGUCCAGAGGUGCCAGUGUUUACUCUUAGUUUAUCUACACUUUUCUGCUUCCUCAGUUUAUGUAGUUAAUAAAAUUUACUACCUGGAAAAGUUGACUGACUGAAGGGGAAAGGAUGCAGGAGGAGGAGGAUGAACCUUUCAAUGUCUGAUUUGAGGUGAAAUCUGACCUGGAACCUCAGUCUUGUGGUCCAGAUGAAAAUAAGUGGGUGGGGCUGUUUGGGUCAUUUAUUUAAAAAAAAAAAAAAGGCACCACUAUCAAGUAGCAUCACACAAGACUUAACUUGAUGUGGGUUUGGGUGGCUUUUUUUUAAAAAAUAAACUUAUUUAAAAUUUUAAAAAAGGGGGGCAGGGGAGAACCAAUCUCCUCCACUGAUGGAUGUUUGAAAUAAAAUGUGUCCCUGUGCGUACUAUGAUUUCCUUGUCAGAAAUGUUGACACCUCUGAGACUGUCCAUAUUGAUGUAGUUUUUUUUUUUUUUAAAUAUAUAAACGUCUCUCUUGUCCAUGUUUAACCAGCAUUUUGUGUCACUGGAUGUGUGUGGUGUGGGGUGUUUUUUAUAUUUAUUAAAAAAAAAAUGCUCUCCAAGGUGGAAGACUCCCCCCCCCCCCCCCCCCCCCCCCUUUCUGGAAGGGAAAAACGUUGCUCUCGGACUUUAUCAUGGCUGUUGAUCAGAUGGUUAUAGUGGUCUCUGUUUGCUUUGUGUAUUUUUGUUUAUUCCACCCUCACGUGGAGGUGAUGGACCAUCAUCCCUGAUUCCACCUUGAAGGUGCUCCAAACUGAACAGAGGUUUUGGACGUACACUUUGUAUUCAAGUGGAAUCUUGAGCAGCAGUUCCACCUCAUCGUCAGUCCAGUCGUUUGAAUCCACUUGUUUUGUCAUCAUUGGUGUUUUUGCACAUUUGUUCUUGUUUACUGCUCAACACGCAGCUCUUAAUGUUAUUCUUGAGGUAUUUUGCAUGUGACGGGUUGAUUAAGUAUUACACAUCACUGGAUGCUGUGGUCUUUUUUUUUUUUUUUUAAAGAAGUCAAGUUUGUGGGGUUUUUCUUCUCAAAUGGAGAAUUUCAUGAAAAUGCUGUUUUACUGUAUGUGGAUGAGGAAUUCUUUUGAAAAUGAAGGGGAGCACUUUUUAAUUCACAUGGGAAUGAAUGGCUCAUGUUCUGUAUCUAUUUGUUUAAAGCCUUAAAGUGCCAUUCCACCAUUGGAUGUAU